AGUCUUAUAUUCAAAAAUGAUAUGAAAUUGCAAAUUUUAAGGAGUAAUAAUUACUAAGGCUU
rnacentral:tRNA from 2 species